CCUUCGCAGAACAUCUUAAAAAAAAAAUCAUAAUUCGGUUUAUGGGCCGUUGAGGGGCGAAAAUGUAUGUGCCUUCCACUUAGCAAAAACUUUCGGAGCUUGUGGUUCGGUCUCCUCUCUACCUUGGCGUUCGCGCCCGGCGGCCUGGCGGCUGCGGCGCCACCGCGACGACCAUCCCGUGGAACGUGACGCAGUACGCAUCCGGUAGCUGCUGCGGCAGCGCGCGGCGGAAAAGUAAAUGAUGACAGCUAUCAAAAGGGAAGAAGUUGAGACAACUGCAGAAAGCAGGAAUGGAGCCAUAAACUUAUCAGUGGUGAGUGGAUCAGGAACAGAUGCAGGGACAAUGUUGCUGUAUUUGUCUUGAGAUACACGCCAUUUAUUCCUAAUUUGAAUAAUAGUAUCCCCCUCUACUAUGUCAAGAAUUGCCUUUGAGAUGUCUCCAAGUAGAGGAGAUCCUUUAGGUAAUGCCUGCAUAAGAAUUAUAGAUGUUUUGUUAGCUGAUAUGCUUGAGAUCCAGAGAUUUUCCUAUUAUAGGCUGCUGUAGAGAAUUUAAUCCCCUGAUGCAAUGCAAGGUAAAGUUGAAUCAA